UACCCCAACCACCCUCACUUUUUCCUCCAACUCUCUCAACUUUCCUCCCUCCUACAUCUCUAUAUAACAAUACACACAACAGACACGGACAAAAACAAAAAGAGGAGAACAACAUUUUGUGAAAGAAAACAAGAAAAGAAAGUGAGAAAAACAGAAAGAAAAGAAGAAAGAAAAAGGGAGAAAACAAGAAAAGAAUGUGAGAGAGAAGGAAAAGAAGUGCGAAAAACAGAAAGAAAAGAAGUAAGAAAUAGAGGGAGAAAAAUAGAAAAAUGGUAAUGAACACAAGAGAAAAAGGAGGAAAAGUAGUAGAGGAUUGAGUUCAAGUUUUUGUUUGAGUCUCCGAUGGCUUCGUUCGUCAUACAGAUUAUGGAGGAGAUGCAUCGGUACGCUCAAGGGGCAGCUAUAAGAGGUUGCGUUAUCAGAAUAGUUUCAGUGGGAGCCGGCAUGGCUCACGGUUUAGAGAAAAGGUUUCAUAGGUCAGUAUAUCAAUAACAGGGUCAGUCUUGUCGAAGUGGCUAUUCUGAAGUGAAUAUUCCGGAUCAGUUGGAUCUUCUGGAUACAGUGUAGUGCAUGCAAUUGCGAUGUGUUAUGGUGUGGUCCUUCGAUCAUUUUUUCAGAGAAUGUCCUCGACGUGGGGCACCUGCAGUGUAGAGUGCAUACUAUGAGAACAACAAAAGAGAGAUUUGUCGGCAUGUGCAUUUAAAUAGCUAUUUUAAAUGCAAAGAAUAUAAUGAUAGUGUCAUGAAUUUUGAAUUUAAACCAAUAAAAGAUCUAGAUAUUUUGAUGAUUUUGAAAAUAUAUGUCACUGUAAUGGAUUUCGAACUUAUUUCAUGACCGUGUCAUAUAUUUUGCUAAUUUUUCAUGAA